CGCGGGGUGGAGCAGUUUGGUAGCUCGUAGGGCUCAUAACCAGAAGGUCGCAGGUUCAACACCUGCCCCCGCUA
rnacentral:tRNA from 1 species